GUUCCCACCCAACUUGGUGUUGUUUGCAAACCUACUGAGGGUGCACUCGAUCCCCUCAUCCAGAUCAUCAAUAAAGAUGUUGACUGUCUUCUGUUGGUAUCUGUAUCAGACAGUGGCACAAAAUUGCUAAAAUAAGUCUACCGAGUGCUAAAACUCAAGUGACCUUUCUGCUGGAGUUCUCCAGAACACUUUUCCUGCUUUAUCUUUCUAGAAACACUUGUUAGUGCUGUAUUUGUUAAAGAGGGUGGUGGUUCCAUAGUCACUGCUGAGCCAUCGUUCUGACAUGUGCUUUCUAUUUAGAAGGGUUUUGCUUUGGAGUGAGUCAGGUGGACUGUGCAUAUUGAUCAGCCAACAUUCAAAUGAGAAAAGGUAGUAACUAAGAAUUGUGAGAUGUUCGUGGGAUUAUGGGGUCCUAUUCUUUCUCUGGGGUCUCUUCAGAAUUAAGUAGCUUUAAAAGCUAAAAGGACUGAGGAAGAGUGUGGCUCUUCUUCAUGCUGUUUAUUUUGAAGUACUCUAAAAACAAGUCACAACUCGGAAGUGGUGGGUGACUUCACAAUACCUAAAAUGUUUUAAGUAUAUGGAUCACGUGUAAUUUAUGUGAUCCAUGCAUAAUUCAUAUUGAUUGUUAUGUCCAAGCACUUAAGACAGUUUUAAACUAAGCUGUAUAAAUAAUACAGAGAGAUACUCACUUGUGUGCAUGCACACCAAUAGGUAGGGUAUAUUCUCUUCUUAAAAUGUCUAGCUGCAGUGUGCAUGGUACAUUUCCUAAAUUCCCUGAACUGUAGAAUACUAGGAAGAAGAAAGAGGUAGUUGUGCAUAUGGUACAGCCCAUUCUGGAGCACUUCAGUAAGUAUAAAAUGUUUUUAAGCUCCCGUCCCUGCAUGUGUAGACACUAUCAGUGGUUUCCAGCCAGCCUGAGUGUAACAUGACGGGAGAAGGAACUGGUGUCUCUAGUUUCUGAGACCAACUUCAGCUUCUGUUACAGAAGAUUUCUCUGUUUCCAUCAUAGUCCAGCUACUUGAGCCUUUUUGCUGAUGUGUUUAUAACUUCCCAGAAACUGAGGCAAGAACUUGUGAUUAUUGAAUCAACACUAUUGGCUUCCACCAGAAGUGGUGGAAUGACAGUGGUUCAUCCGUAAACUUGUAUUGAUGCUGUUAAUCUAUUAACUACUGUGCUUCUGCAUGCUGCAUUAAAUUCUUCUCAAUUCAAUGGUGAAGUCUAGCUGCUUCAGCAAUUGCCAUCAGUGCUGUCCUCAAGAACACACAGACAGGUUGACUGCAACUUUGAAUUUGGUGUUGCACAGAUGUAAACCAUCCUGACAUCCUCUGUGAGAAAGGAAGGUCUGUGGUGUGGUGGAAGAAGCCUCCAGUUGCUCUAAGAAGUGGUCUAAUGCAUUCUGAAAAUAGUCCAGAUGAAGUACACUCAUCUGGGUUGUUCUCUAGGAGCUUCCUGGUCUCCGCUGGAAGAGCAGAUUGCCCUUGACUUUGCACUAAGUCCAGAGACUAGUGGCUACAGAUAGGACAUUGCAUGCGGGACCUCCUGCUGCAUCUUUGAGAUGGCUCAGCUCUGGAGAAAGCUUUCUCCACAUGGUAAGGCAUGCCUAGUGCAAGUCUCCAAUUAUGAAGUAGAACAGAGUAUCUCAGAAAUAGGCUUUCAUCAUAAAACUAGGUGCAGGUUAAUGGUUACGUUAGGCUUGAAUUUGCAUAUGAGAAUGCUUGGUGCUCUUUCACCUGCACUAUUCUCCGACAGUAUCUUCUAUUAGCUGAGAAAGUAUGAACUAUGUUCUAAAAUGACAAAGUAACCAGUUCCAUCAAUGAGAGGGGUAGCUGCUACUUCUAAAUGCAUUUUUGUGCCGUGCGUCUAGAGAGAAAUAAGGAAAGCGGUGUUGGAGUAGCGUGGCAUAUUCAUACAGAAAUUAGAUCACUCAGUUACACUAAAACAUUUAUAUUAGGAGCAAGAAAUUCUUCAUGUUUACAGAUGUUCAAAGUCUGCCACCAAAAGGUUAUAGGUAGGCAACAGAGUCAAAUGGGAAGAUCAUCUGUGUUGCAUAUGUCAAGAUACUGGCUUGAAAGAAAUAAGGCAGAUAAAUAAUAAAGUUAAGCUUUGCGGGAAAUUGAAGGACAUUUGGAGAUUUUAAUCUCAAGAAAGCUUUUGUUUCUUUUUGGUCAUUGCCACACUUAAAUGAACUAGAAAAAGAAAAUCGAAUUUUCUAGCUGGCUAAGUAAAUAAUGGGUGACUGCUGUAAAAAAAGACCUUCAGGAUGGACAUGUGCUCCUGGGAGAACUUUCUUCGGAUAAUUCAUGGCCAUGAUGCCUGCGUCAAGUUAAUCAUGGAAAAAGAUGAAGUUGUGAGAUGGACUAGAAGAAAGAAACAGGAUGCCCAGUAAUAGAAUCCUCUGAAUAAGUUGUUCUUAUUUAUUUAUACUGAUGGCAUGGGCUGAGUAUUAUGUACUGAAAUCUGACCCUUUGGAAUGUGAAGAUUGAGAAACUCGAAUGAUUGCUGCUGCUAGACAAAAAAUACGUGGUUAUAUAGUUUUCUAAUUACGUUAGUAGUCUUGAGACACUUCUCUCUAGACUUGCUAUGAGGACUGCAGAUUUAGUCUUUGCUUACAUAUAACAAAAGAUACGACUGAUAGUAUGGCAUGUUUGAAAGGGUUAUUAGUUAAUUUUUAAGAUUGUUUUGAUACUGUCAUAAAACCCAACCAUAUAUAUCAUCAAGGUAUUCCACAGGCAUAUAUGACUAUAGGACUUAAUAUGGUCUCCGAACUUUAGAUUAGCUCCAGCUUUGUUCCAGGCUAGUAUGUCUCUGCUUGAAUACUGCUACCUUUGACAAUCUUCACUGUAUGUUCUUGUAACAAAAAAGCUUUUUUGACCUCAGAGUGGAAAGCAUAAUGGGGCAAGAAUUACUAUUUUGUAAGCACUGGAGGGCCUUGAUGUGUGCUACAAACCUCUAAGAAUGUUUUAGAAAAUCAAAGCAUAAGCUUUUCUAUUAGCUACAGCUUUUCUGUUGAGAAACAAAGUAGUGAUACCUACUACUAAGCUGACAUAUAUUUAUUAGGUCUUUGGCUUACUGAAUAUAUGUGUAAGAAUUGCUCACUGCUUUGCUGCUGCCAUAGCAUAUAUAUUAGCAGUGGAUGUAUAGUACUUGAACUCUGAAACAAACCCCUCUUAGGAGUAGUGAAGGAGAGAGCAGAAUCUAUGUCAACGCUGCCUAGUACUCUUCAUUGUAAGGGACUUGUAUCCCUUUUGUGUGAGGGCUUUAUCGGGAUAGUUUCUUACGGAACUGAAGAAAAAAGAACAGUGCUAGAAAUGAGGGGGUUUCUACACUCAAAAGAUGACAGUUACAAAUUGAGUGACAGAUACAUUGUACAGUCCAAUUAGCUCAUGCCUUCUAUGCAUUAAGAAUCCUGGCAGUGUUGUAUUUGGCAUUCUCUUUUGCCUGAUGUCUCGUGGAGGAUUUCACAGAACUAAGACUGGGGACUGCAAAGAUAGAAUGAACUGUCAUUAGAACUGCAAAAAUCACGUAUUUAAGACAGGUAUUUAUGAAGUAAAUGUUCCUUUUCAUGGAUGUUAGAAGCUAAAUAGAGAUGAAGGCUGAUAAGGAAAAGCAUGUAUGUCUAAAGCUGAAAGAGGCAAUUCAAAACAUCUCUUCUACAGAGCUGUCGAACGAAGACUGGAAUUUCACUUCUUUCCUACUGUUGCUGUUUUGUGUCCAGUAAUUUGCCUCUGAUUGGUGAAUGUUAGUUAUAUUAGUUGAAGGCUUUUAAUAGAUCUGGAUAAAAUAACUUGCUACUAACAGUCAAAAAAGCAUACAAUUUUAUCGCUCCAGUUUGUAAUUGACAAUAGGUCUAAAAUUGAGAAGUGGCAUAUAUUAUACAAAUCCAGGCAGUAGAUCUAACUGAAAUAAAACUCUUCUUACCCCAUAUCUGAAGAGUUAAAUUAUGCAGGAAGAAGUUCCACAUCUUCUGUCUUCAGUUUACCAGCUAUCCGUACAACUGCAGUGCCUUGCAUCUGACAUCAGUUUUUUGCAAAAGCAAAAGCCUGAGUACGUCACUGCGUCUAUGAUGCAUCACACCUUUUUCUUAGACAUGACUUGGUAUACUGCAAUUUUAAUUUGUCACAAUGAGGAACUAGGUCAGAACUGCUUAGUUUGUUUCUCAUAGUAAUGUGAAAUGCAACUAAUACCGAAGCACUGGCUGGGAGUCCUCUAGCAGCCCAAAACUUGCCUUCUGCUGAGCCUUUAGACUCAAAUUUCUUGUACCCUUGUUUCCUACGUGUUGUGUUUUUUCUUUUCACCAGAUCAGCUGGAAUUCUGGGUCUGUCACAUGCUGUGUGAGUAGCUCAGUUUGAGUUAUAAACAGCGUAAUUCCAUGUAGUCUGUGCUUAAACUCUUUUUUAUUUCUCGUCCCUUGCCCACUUGAAAACUGGCAAAAUGGUAGAAAUCCAAAUAGGACGUAUAUUUCCUGUCUGGGACCCUGUGCAUUUGUGGGGAAGAAAAGGGCCUGUGCUGCUGUAAGAGGAGUAAACUGACAGCUGGGCAGUAGGAAGAGGCUUGAUUGAGAUCUGGUGCCUGAGAUGAUGCAGAACACUUCAGGGGUGGCAAAGUCCCCAGAUUUCCAGCCUCAGUGGCUCUCAAUGCUCAGCUUGAGUCUUAAUUUGCAGGGUCCUCAUGUCCUGCAGAAGUCGAGGCUCAGCAAAGUUCAAUAGCUCCCUUUGGUAGUAUCCAACACUUCAAAACUUUGAGCUGCACAACCAAGUUGCAUUGUCACCAGAAAGGAAAACAUGACCACUUGUCCCAUCCCAUGUAAUUUGGUUUUCUUUCCACUAUGCAUUUCUACCCAUUUUCUAAGGAUUUAAAGUAUUCUAAAGCAUUUCCUAUAAUAUAUUUUACUACUGUCACUAUCUUUAAAGGAAGACAUUUGUUCAGUUUAAAGAUAAAAACUUGUUUGUAAUAGAUUACAGGUGUUAAAUAAAAAUAUCAAUGUUUAAAUGGGUUUAAGAUUAAAGCUUUUGUUCUUUUCAUCAGGUUUACAACUGUUAAUGACACCAGAGAAUCAAUAGUGGUGGCACAUUCUCAAACAGCUGUUACUGUGAUAUUAAAAGAUAUACCUGCCCUUUCAUAAACAGUGUAGGGAAAAAUGCCUCCUUUUCAUAGAUUUUUAGUAUAAUAAAUAAUAAUAAACAGCAUAGUGAAACUCCUCAAUUACACGUAUAAUCACUAAUUACACUAAUAUCAAUCUAUGACUGUUGCCGUCAUGAAAGAAGAAGGAAAAGAUGGACAAUUUCAUCUUACAGGAAAAGUUUUUAAAUUCUGUAUGAAGUACACCAGAAUCAUCUUCCUAGUGUGGGCUAACUCCAUAGU